rnacentral:rRNA from 1 species
UACGUAGGGUGCAAGCGUUAAUCGGAAUUACUGGGCGUAAAGCGUGCGCAGGCGGUUUUGUAAGUCUGUCGUGAAAUCCCCGGGCUCAACCUGGGAAUUGCGAUGGAGACUGCAAGGCUAGAAUCUGGCAGAGGGGGGUAGAAUUCCACGUGUAGCAGUGAAAUGCGUAGAGAUGUGGAGGAACACCGAUGGCGAAGGCAGCCCCCUGGGUCAAGAUUGACGCUCAUGCACGAAAGCGUGGGGAGCAAACAAGGAUUAGAAACCCGUU